rnacentral:rRNA from 1 species
CUGCGAGUGAACAGGGAUUAGCCCAGCACCGAAGCCUAUGGCUAUUUGGUCAUUAGGCAAUGUGGUGUUUAGGCGUGUCCUUGGUGGCGUUGCCCUAUCCAAAGUCCAGCAAUGAGUAUGGCUAUUAUUUGUCCCACAGAGGGUGAAAGGCCCGUUUGGGUAGGGUUUAACAUCGUUGCCUUGGGCGCGCCUUGGAGUCGGGUUGUUUGAGAAUGCAGCCCAAAGCAGGUGGUAAACUCCAUCUAAGGCUAAAUACUGGCACGAGUCCGAUAGCGAACAAGUACCGUGAGGGAAAGUUGAAAAGUACUUUGAAGAGAGAGUAAACAGUGCGUGAAACCGCUCAGAGGUAAACGGAUGGAGUUGAACUGGAUGCUUCGGGGAUUCAGCUGGUCAGUUGGAUUGGCGCCCAGAGUUGCUUUUUUAAUAGCGACUUCCCGCUCUUUCGGGAGUGGGGAGGUGUGUAUGCUUAUCGUGUGUUUACGCGCUCUGGGAUGAUUGGUCUGGCUUGCUAGUGCACUUCCUCGGAGUGAUCACCACGACCGGCGCUGUCGUUUGUCCACCAUAGUCAAACUAGCCGGGUUUGAUCGUUCUGAUUAAACAAGGUUAGGAUGGCAGGUAGCUCGUUUGCUCAGCAAUGGGCUUUCGAGUGUAUUAGCUGACUAUGUGUAUAUGGAUAUGUGCGAUGUGCCGGAGAUUUCGGUCUAUGCGUGCGUAUAUGCCGUGUCCUGCUGGCUUGGACGGGUUUUGUACUAAUUUUGUAUCUUGUUGCAAAACAGGUCUUUAGUCAAUUCGUUCAUGUCUGGUGGGCGGUGUAUGCGUGGCAUCUUGUAUUGGGCCUAUAGUCUGUGGUGUUGCGGUAGACUAUCCAUCCGACCCGUCUUGAAACACGGACCAAGGAGUAUAACAUGCGCGCGAGUCAUUGGGCAUUACGAAACCCACAGGCGCAGUGAAGGUAAAGGCUCGGCUUGUCUGAGCUUAGGUGAGAUCCCGUCGUAUCCUUUAAUGAUUAUUAUUAUUAUUAUUAGAGCGGCGGGCGCAUCACCGGCCCUCCCCAUGACGUAGCCAUGCGGCCUUGUGCCGCGUGCACCGUCGGGGUGGAGCAAGAGCGCGCAUGUUGUGACCCGAAAGAUGGUGAACUAUGCUUGCAUAGGUUGAAGCCAGAGGAAACUCUGGUGGAGGACCGUAGCGAUUCUGACGUGCAAAUCGAUCGUCAAAUGUGAGUAUAGGGGCGAAAGACUAAUCGAACCAUCUAGUAGCUGGUUCCCUCCGAAGUUUCCCUCAGGAUAGCUGGCGCUCAAAUUAAAUACUUUUAUCCGGUAAAGCGAAUGAUUAGAGGUAUUGGGGAUAAAACGUCCUCAACCUAUUCUCAAACUAUAAAUGGGUGAGAAGCCCUGCUCGCUCAAUUGGAGUGGGGCGUUGAAUAUGAGUGCCAAGUGGGCCAUUUUUGGUAAGCAGAACUGGUGCUGUGGGAUGAACCAAACGCCCGGAUAAGGUGCCUAACGAGGCGCUCAUGAGAUACCACAAAAGGUGUUGGUUGGUAUUGACAGCAGGACGGUGGCCAUGGAAGUAGGAAACCGCCAA